rnacentral:rRNA from 1 species
UACGUAGGGGGCUAGCGUUGUCCGGAAUCAUUGGGCGUAAAGCGCGCGUAGGCGGCCAGAUAAGUCCGGUGUGAAAGUCACAGGCUCAACCUGUGAAUGCCGCUGGAAACUGUCUGGCUAGAGUCCGGAAGGGGCGAGUGGAAUUCCUGGUGUGGCGGUGAAAUGCGCAGAUAUCAGGAGGAACACCAAUGGCGAAAGCAGCUCUCUGGGACGGUACUGACGCUGAGGCGCGAAAGCGUGGGGAGCGAACAGG